rnacentral:lncRNA from 1 species
AACAAAAUAUAAAGUGUUCUGUUUUCCUUCUAACAGUUUUAUUUGAUAUCAUAUAAAGUGUCAAUAACUUAAAGUUUGGAAGUUACUUUAUUGCUACUGUCAGAAACCAUUGUUGAGCCAAGAGAUACCUUAUUAUUUGGUCUAUACAGCAAUCUUAAGUUUUCUGCCUUUUCAUAUGUUUAUUCAUACAGUUACAUGAUUUGUUUUCAGUAUUACAACAUUUUUAGGACUUUCUUUUUUGCUUUUAUUAUGUAAUACAGUUGCUGUCAGAUGAAUAAAUGCUGUUCUUUAUAAGGAAAGUAUAUAAGAAAUUAGAAAGUUUGUUAACUAGUCGUUUAUAAAUAUUGGGAGUAUGUACUUAGAUUUCAUGUGUUUUAGUGCUCUUGAGUAUAACAGGCCAUAUUCUUCUCCAUGUCUUUGUAGUCACCGUGAAGAUUAAACCAGUGAUUCCUAAGCCACAUGAAAGCAUCAGCAUGGGGAACUGGAGGGAUAGGCUUAGAAAUUGUAGAACUGCUGUCUGGUUUUUGUUUAUUAGAUAUUUUCUUUAUUUACAUUUCAAAUGCUAUCCCGAAAGUUCCCUAUACCCUCCCCCUACCCUGCUCCCCUAUCCACCUACUCCCACUUCUUGGCCCUGGAGUUCCCCUGUACUGGGGCAUAUAAAGUUUGCAAGAUCUAGGGGCCUCUCUUCCCAAUGAUGGCCGACUAGGCCAUCUUCUGCUACAUAUGCAGCUAGAGUCAAGAGCUCCUGGGUACUGGUUAGUUCAUAUUGUUGUUCUACCUAUAGGGCUGCAGACCCCUUCAGCUCCUUGGGUACUUUCUCUAGCUCCUCCAUUGGGGGCCCUGUGUUCCAUCCAACAGAUGACUGUGAGCAUCCACUUCUGUAUUUGCCAGGCACUGGCAUAGCCUCACUCGAGACAGCUAUAUCAGGGUCCCUUCAGCAAAAUCUUGCUGGCAUAUGCAAUAGUGUCUGGGUCUGGUGGCUGAUUAUGGGAUGGAUCCCCGGGUGGGGUAGUCUCUGGAUGGUCCAUCCUUUAGUCUUAGAACUGUUGUCUGUUUUUUCUGUUGCUUUUACUUAUGUGAACUUAAUUUUUUUCUUUUUUUCAAGAUAGGGUUUCUCUGUAUAGCCCUGGCUGUCCUGGAACUCACUAUGUAGACCAGGCUGGGCUGGAGCUCAGAGAUCUGUCUGCUCUGCUUCAGGAGUGCUGGGAUUUUGCCACCAAACUGGGCUCCUAUGCGAUUUUAAUAGAGACCACCUUAUGACCCUCUUUGCUCAACUUUGAAAUUAACUGGGAUUUGUUCAUUUUUGAUAGAGUUGUUACAAGGAUGAUAUAUUAAAGAUAAGAAAUGUAGAUAAUUAAGUGGUGUUUUAAUGGUGGAAAUACGCUUAUAUAACUUCUGAUCAUUUUGAGACUGCUUUUAUUUGAGACAAUACUGUCUUAUAAAUUGCCUUUUCUCUAUCCUGUCCCCCUUACACUUUAUUGGUCUUUUUGAAACAGAAUCUUGCCAUGUAGCACAAGACAAGUACAGAACUUACUGUGAGUCCAGAUUAGCUCUGCACUCCCAGUUGUCUUGUCUCGGCCUCUGAAGGGUUGUGUUUACAGGCAAGUGCCGUUAUGCUGAGCACUCAUGAGCAUUCAGUUUCAUGAAGAGCUUCCAAAAUUCUCUCUGAUUUCUGUUAGCAUCUGUGGAUUAUCUAGUUUAUCCAGUAUUAGAAGCCUUUACUGCUGCAUUAAAUAAUUGACAGUACUAAACUGUACUUUUAAAGUGUUUAUUACAUUUAUUUAACUGGGAAGAGACCACCUGUGGAGGCCAGAGGACAAUUUGCAGGAAUUCUCUCUUAAAAGUGGUAAUGAUACCCCCUAGUUGUAAUAUGUGUAUAUAGUGUCACAUGAUUUUUUUCUUUUUCUUUCAUUUUUACUGAUUUGUAGGUUCAAAUAAAAGAUGGUUGAAAGAAUGGGAAAGUUUUAUAUUAAGGAAGUAAUAUAUCUUAGAGAUGAGAGAUUGAGAAAGAUAUUUAAAUUAGUUGAUCCUUAUAUACACACUUAAAGUUAAAUUUUAGACUUUAAUAAAAUACAAAUAAUGUAAGCAAUGUUUGGUAUAAAAUAUAUGUUUACUGGUUAUUUAUACUAAGAAUAGACUUUUAGACCCUAGCAGCAGGUAGUCUGAAUAGUCUUUUAAAAAAAUAGUCUUUAUUAUCUAAUUCAGUGAUUCUCAACCUUCCUAAUGCCGUGAACCUUUAAUACAGCUCUUUAUGUUGUGGUGACCCCUAUCCAUAAAAUCAUUUUUGUUGCUACUUCAUAACUGUAGUUUUGCUACUGAGCAGUGUCUUAGUUCCAAAGGUGAUGUGAAAUAUGUGUUUCCUGAUGGUUGUGACCCACAGGUUGGGAAGUGCUGAUGUAACUCAUAUUCUCCUGACAUAAUUGUAUUGUUCCUAAAAACAACUGCAUUAUUAUGAGCACAGUAAACAUGACAUGUUCAUUUGUUUAAAAAAUGCUAAUCAUAAUUAGCUAAGUGACUUUUUUCUGAUUUUAGGAAUUUUAUAGUCAGUGGCAGAAAAGUGGCCAAUUUUUUCUGGACUCAAUAGCACAUAAUAUAACCUGGGAUCCCGCAGGUAAGGAAAUUAACAAGAAUAACUAGAACAAUUUUAUCUGUGUGACAGUGGUGAGU